GUCUUCACACCUGAAAUUUAUCAGUUGGCUCAUUGUAGGGACUUGAGUUUUCACUCUCAAUUUGUUGGUGUUUGUUUAGGGAAUAAAGAAGUUAUCAGGUGAUUCAAGAAUUACCCUUCUUGAUUUGAGGGACUUCAGUUUUCACUCUCUAUGAUAGACUGCCAAAUUUUAAUUCGGGAAGAGGUCAUGUUACAUUCCUUGGAGACUGUCCAUGCUAUACAACCUAAGUUGGGUCAACCAGGAUGCACGACCAUAGAGAAUAGAAACUUGACAAAGCAUGGAGCCGAAGUGUCGAGUCAGAUAGCCCUGUGAAUAUCAUCUCACCUUUAAGGAGGUAAAUCCAUUAUUUUCUUGGCUCAAGUGGUGGUGUUAUGGUUGGUUGAGUACAGGUUUCCACUUCAUGAUAAUUGAAAAGUCACUCGCAAUUGUGUGGUGUCCUAACUUCACCCUACCGCUAGCCUAGAGGGUUCGUUUUAAAUGCCUCAACUGAAAGUGGAUUGAUUUGAAUAGUUGAUCCUUCUAUGAUUUCCUUUGUCUAUAGCUAUGAAAGCGUUAGAAAACUUCGAGUAGAAGUUAUUCAUGGACUAGCUAUAAUAGUUGCAAUCAUGACAUCAACAUAGGAGGCUUAUCUUGGUGUGGUUAAAAGUAAUGUCUUAUUUAAGUGAAAAUUGUACAAUAUCUCUGAUGUAAUUCCACAAGUAGGGCCUGAAAAAAGAUAGAUAUACCAGAUAUUAUUCCUGUCCUAAAAAUAGAAAGGUUAUUUCCGAUACCCUCAAUUCGAUGAGUUGAUUAAAAUUUCUCAUAUGGAGGAGCUUAAUUCCAGGAUUGAUGUUGGAAAGGCAAAAGGCAUCAAACAAAAGUCUGAUCUUAUUUUUCAGCUUAGUUCUUAAUUUUCUUUUGAUCUUUGUGAUCAAAAAACAAGUUCAUUAUACUAUGCAGACCCUGCAUUUGGUUA